CCCAGAUCCAGGUUGCUGUCACAACUGAGCUGUAACACCGAGCUGUAACACACUUUGCUGCAACAAUGUCAACCGGGAAAUCCCAGGGCAGGACUUGUGCCCAAAGUUAAGCAGUAAGAUUUUGAUACAGAGGUGCCCCUGAGGCAGAGGGUAUGAAACGUUAAGUGGUCUGCAGCCCGUAAGGAGACAGUAUGAUGCACCGCCAUGGCUUGGGAGGCUCCUGGGGUCUGAGGACGGGUUGACUAGCACUGAUCCUCCGCCCAGAUCCCGAGUCCGAUCUCACAGAUCUCAAGGAGGAAUCUAGGGGAACAGCAGAGACUAUCUCCUCCAGGUACCUCUGUAAAUGACUGAACGGUGGGACAUGCUCCUGGUGGUGGCAGCAUCAGAAAGGUCCUAUGCUCUAUUCAGGAAUGAUAUCUCUAUAGAGAAAUAAAUGAGAGAAGGAAAAGACACAAGCCUUUUCUUGCAAUGGAAGAAUGGAAGGUUGUGCCGACUGGCCAGCCGAAGCGCAAGGGCUGGAAGAGAUUAGGGGCCUCUGAUGACAUCAAUAGAGAGAGAAGAUUACCAGUGUCGGUGGAGGGAUGAUUGCUUCAGGAAGGCCUUUCAAAGGCCUGACAACUUCUCUUGAAGGAUGGCCCUAGCAGUGCUCUCUAAAGGUAGGACUGUCAGUCUGUGCGUGUGGAGAACAGUUCAAAGAAAACAAAACACUUAAGCGUAAUCUUUCAGAGGGUGAGGAAUCGUGGCAUAAUGAUGAUAAAACGCUACUUCUGGAUCUGACAUGCAGCACAGCUGUGUGACGGCAAGAAGAUUCUGGCUAAGCCAAAAUCUGUGCAUUCACUCUGCCUGCCUUUCUUCCAGAGAGAGAGGGGAUCUGGGCCCAACAUACACAGGUGAUCCAGGAACUGGCCUGGUACCCAGAUCCUACGGCUGCUUCACAACCAGCCCAGAGUGAACGCUGAUCUUCCAGGAGACCCCUGCCACCACGGCUUCCACAGGGAGAUCUUGAAGCAAAUAUAUACACCUUGGAGAGGGUUACAGUAAGCCUUUCCUAAGUCUGAACCCCAGGCUCUGAGAGCCAUCCCAGGAUGAGGCCCUUUACUUCUGUCUCUGACCUCCCAGCUCUAAGUGGCUUGGGGACAUCAGUGACUCUCCUGCAUCUGCCCUGUAAAGAGUCCACAGAGCGUUCGCACACCUCUCUCUACCACCUUGCUCAGUACAAACGGGGGUCACCAAAGCUGAUCAAAUCACCACCGCCCAGGGCUUCCGGAGUCCCAGAAGAGCAUCCCCUAACGAAUACUAGUUUCUAUUUCGAGAAGGAAAGGUGAAAGAACCAGAAGACAUUGGAAGGGGAAAGCCCCUCUCUAUAAGAGAGGAGGAAAAUCAAGUCAAGUCAAUUUCUCAGGAAGAAGAAGAGAAAUAGAAAACAGUGGAGAAAUGAGUACAAGGAAGGCAACAAAGGGGAUGCACCUGAGGGGGCGUAAGCCUCGUGUGGACCUGGGAACUGCUACUCACCACACAUUCUACUUCCUCAGCACUACAGCAACGGCAGGGACGCCAGUAAACAAAGGAUUAACAUUUUACAGGAAGAAAACAAGGUAUGAGCUCCUUUCUAUCAUUCACACCCACAUGUUCAUAAAAGCAAGAAAGAGUUAUACUGGGAAAUGGGGGAAUGAAAUGCUCCUUCAAAAUAUUUCUUAAAACAGCCCAUGCCAAAGGAAAUUUGUGAAUUUAUUUAAGUCUGGAAAACAAACAACAACAACACAGAAAUAAAACUCUCACGCAGACCCUCAACAUCCACAGCACAUCAAGAAGAGCAGAGGAGCUGACAGCCUUGGCGAAUCGAAAAGGUGCACUGAUUCCCGGCUCAAAAUCAGUUUCCUCAAGGAAAGAAUCACUACGGUUGCAUCCUGCCUUGAAAUCCAGGGGUCACAGCCCCUGAAAUUUGAAGGAGGACUGCUUAAAAGUCUGGCAGUUUGGGGUUUAGGGGAUCUAGAAAUUCAAGCGGAAGCUCACAAAGAACGAGUAACGCAGAAUUCCCAAAGCCGUGAAACCUUGCUACUUAAGAUAAUGACAGAAAUUUAUGACUGCUUCCUUCCCCGGCAGAAAGGAGCACAAUUAGAAGGCUGAAAACAACAGGCCCUUUAUGCAAGCACGUUACGUUUUGCUGAUCCUAUUGCACGUUGGCUGGGAGGUAGGAAUAAACAGGACAACACCCUGUCUAACCCCAGGAGGAGGGGGCGGAGAGGGAGCCAGUGACGCUCAGCUCAUUCUUGGGCAUGUAUGUGCACACCAUUUAUUCGCAAAUUGAGGUACUUAAGAAAAUUGGGCAUGCAACAGUCAGGGAUAGUAUGAGCAUUCAGAGAGCCUUUUAUUGCACAAUCAAACCUUUUAAGAACGAGCCAUGUGUAAUAGGGAGUUUCAGUUUUUCUCUGCUAUAAAUUACGUUGAAGGUAUUUCAGUAAUUGAUCAUUAUUUCUCUGUACGCUUUACUUAUCAGUCCUAUUUUUGUUCAAUCUUUGAAAAACUUAAUAAUUAGGAUGAGCAAACGUACAAGCAAUGCCUCCCUCCCUGUGACCUGUUGUGUCAAAAAAGCUUGCAAGGACUCAAUCAGCAGCUACGGGGGAAGAAUUCGUGGUAAUCUGACCCAUCUCCCUUCUCCACACAGGGAGUUGCCAGUCUGGGCGCCCAGUGCUCUGAUGCCCCCUCAAUGGAGAAUUCUCCUCCAGGACAGCAGAUGCUAAGCCAAGUCAGGUUCCCAUCAGCCGGUCACGAGAUGGAUAUGUACCGCUGGUCCCCAGAAAACUAAGAAAAGAUCUGACCUCUCUUGCAACUCUCAUUGCAUACACCAGACUGCGUGGACCAUCAGUCAUUUCCUGGUGUCCAAAAUCAGUUAAGGAAAACCAUUCUCAAAGCUCACUGCCCUCCAGCCACACUGGCCUUCUUUCUGCUCCUCUAGUCCACUGCAGUGGUUCCCGCCUUAGGGCCUCUGGACUUGAACUUCCCUCAGCCUGAGAUGCUUUUCCACCAGAUUAUCACCAGGCUGGCUCCCUUGCCGCUUCAGCCUUUCUGCAAAUGUCACUUUUUAAAGAAGCCUUUCCCUCCUCACCCUAACGAUGCUACUGGUCCCCAGUCACUCUGCCACCACCUUCACUCUGUUUUCCUCAUAGUUAACAUCUUAGUCAUCUGUUUUUAUGUAUUUGUUUUACGUCUGUUCUCCCUGGCUAGAAUGUAAGUUCCACGAGGACAGAGGUCUCAGCAGUCUUGUUCACCCCUGUGAUCUUGGCAUCUUAAAUCCUACCUGGCACACAGUACGUGCUUAAUAGAGAUUUAUUUUUAAGAAUGAAUAAGUGAAUAAAUAAACAGACAAUGAACAGAUGAACAAGACAAUACAAUCUGGUAAAGAACCACUGGGGAAAAGGUCAAAGCAGAAUUCGUCACCUAUUAUCAACCACACUGCUGCCUUUUUUUUUUCAUUUUCCCAAGAGGGACAGGGGGUGAGGCUAUAUGUGAAUGGUAGAGUUUCGGAAGCACAACUACAGAAGACACAGCAAUUUUAUGGUGCUUUAAACUUAAAGCCCUUCUGAAAUGAUCUGCAGGAGGUUCUUCAAAUUUAAAUAGAAGAGGAAAAAAAAAA